UUCUACAUGUAACCAAAGUGAAAAUGACACAAAUGUAGCGCUGAAACGCUGAUCAAAGCGCUUUGGUGACGUCACGCCGCUGCCGUCAAGCGCGACCGUGAAGCUUCUUCACUUCUUCAGAUUCACACACACUCACACACUCACAAGUCACUCAGGCAGCGCUGCUGUGCUCUGCUACGGCUCCUCAAACUGCUGUCGGACUCUAAGAAACCUCUCGGAAAUCUUCCGUCUCCUUUUACGAGGUCUCUGGAUGAUUUAUCUCAAAGUGAAGGCAGAAGAGAUGUUGACUGGCUGGUGGAAGGUGACGGACAUCGAGGAGUUACACUCCCUAGAGAAAGCGUGCCAUUCCCGAGGGAUCCGAGAGAAACCGCUGCAGAAACACAUGGGUUACAUGGGGCAGGUCUGCAGCAGGAACAGAGAGGGAUACUGUUGGCUGAGCUGGAAAGCCAUCAGGAUGCCGGACCGUUUCUGACACCCGUCAACCCCAAAUCUGUCCCGGGAUACCACAAGAUCAUAAAUUUUUUUACCAAACAGUCAUUGUUGUAAAGUUGAGUAAAACCAACCAGUAGCUGUAUUUUUUUUUUUUUUUUUUUUUGUAUCCACAUUUUUUCCCGUUUCUUGCAAUGUUUUUCUCUAAAUGAACAAUCUAUAUGCAGUAAUAUAAUCGCAGGUGAACCACAAUAUUUACCAGCAAAAUGGAGUACAGGGACAACUGUGAGAACAGGAAUGUUUUCCAAAAUAACCUGUAAAUAUGAGUUUCUUUUUUUUUUUUUUUUAUAAACGUUAACAUUAUAGUACUGUGUUUAAAAUUGCUUUAAAAAUCUCAAAGAAUGUUUUUUUUUUUUUUACAAAUAAUGGGUUUACGUAAUUCUGAGCUCCUAGAGAACAUAACAUCCAUUAUCGGUUACGUUAUAAAGCUGCAUUUAUGUAAAUGUGUAUGUUUAAAAUCACAAACGCAAAAACACAGUCCAUCUUGACACAUAUAAUCAUUAUUAUUGCUUAAUAUCGGUUCUAAAUAUUGUAUUCUGUGCACACAAGACUAGAGCAUCGGUUAUGCCUUUUUAAUAGUUUCUUUUUAUGUGUUUUAAUAUGACACAUUCUGACAUUUUUACAACUUCUCAAACCUCAAUCCAUCUAUUCUGAUGCACAAGCAUUCAUCCAGUGUUUGCUGGAGUUUUUACACCAUUAUUGCUAUUGCACAUAGAUGAUGCAACAAUAAAACCGAAGUCUAGAAAUCAGAAAUGUUUUUUUUUUUUUUGGACUUGGCAACCGCAUAGCAAACAUUCUUGAAUUGUAGCAGCAAUUUUGCAUGUGCAAAAAAAUGCUGUUGCAUUAAAGAAAUCUAGUUUACAUGAUAAUGCAGUGGUUUUUAUGGUACUAAAGUCAGAAUACUUGAAUGAUAUUGCAAU